rnacentral:rRNA from 1 species
AGCGAACGCUGGCGGCAGGCCUAACACAUGCAAGUCGAACGAACUCUUCGGAGUUAGUGGCGGACGGGUGAGUAACACGUGGGAACGUGCCUUUUGGUUCGGAAUAACUCAGGGAAACUUGUGCUAAUACCGAAUGUGCCCUUCGGGGGAAAGAUUUAUCGCCAUUAGAGCGGCCCGCGUCUGAUUAGCUAGUUGGUGAGGUAACGGCUCACCAAGGCGACGAUCAUUAGCUGGUCUGAGAGGAUGACCAGCCACACUGGGACUGAGACACGGCCCAGACUGCGACGGGAGGCAGCAGUGGGGAAUCUUGCGCAAUGGGCGAAAGCCUGACGCAGCCAUGCCGCGUGAAUGAUGAAGGUCUUAGGAUUGUAAAAUUCUUUCACCGGGGACGAUAAUGACGGUACCCGGAGAAGAAGCCCCGGCUAACUUCGUG